AUUGAACGCUGGCGGCAGGCCUAACACAUGCAAGUCGAGCGAGCGGCGGACGGGUGAGUAAUGUAUGGGGACUGCCCGAUAGAGGGGGAUAACUACUGGAAACGGUAGCUAAUACCGCAUACUAUCGGAUAACCCAUAUGGGAUUAGCUAGUAGGUGAGGUAAUGUCUCACCUAGGCGACGAUCCGUAGCUGGACUGAGAGGAUGAUCAGCCACAAGGGGACUGAGAAACGGCCCAGAGUCCGACGGAGGCAGCAGUGGGGAAUAUUGCACAAUGGGCGCAAGCCUGAUGCAGCCAUGCCGCGUGUAUGAAGAAGGCCCUAAAGUUGUAAAGUACUUUCAGUCGGGAGGCGUUGCCGACAGAAGAAGCACCGGCUAACUCCGUGCCAGCAGCCGCGGUAAUUC
rnacentral:rRNA from 1 species